CUCUGUCUUGCCCAAUGACAGAUGCUCUCUGCCCCAGAUGUCCCAGUACCCCCCAGGAGAGAGGACUGGGGCACUUUACAGCCAAGGCAGAAAAGUCUUUGGGGCUUGCGAAUGUCUCCCCAACUUUCUGUUUCCUCUUCAGUUGCUGUCAGGCAGUGUCCCCUGCUAGCUACCCUCAAGAUAUCUUGCUGUUCUCCAUGGGCCCUGGUCCUCACCUGGGAUUACUGGGAGAGGUUCUGGUGGGGGAAGGAUGAAGAGGAACUGGCCAGGACGCACUCUCUCCACAAGAGAGGGCCUCACCAGUGUUCAGGACAGCUUGGCCUCACCGUGGACAGUAGCACUGAUCAGUCAGGCAAGAGAAGAAUCUAGGCUGAGAAUGGAGGGGGGUGGGGAUCAAGGGAUUUUCCCCCCCUUCUAUCUUAGAGAUUUGUGGGGUUUGGGGGAGUUUUUUUGGUACCGGGGAUCGAACUCGGGACUUUGCACUUGCAAGGCAAGCACUGGAACCGCUGAGCUAAAUCCCCAGCCCUCCCCUUCUAUCCUAAAUAACCUUUCACAGAAAAUUUAGAGGCUCCACCACCCAACGUCUCUCCCUCUCCAUCGAUGCUAGGGACCUCAGUCUAUCUUUAUAUCUCUUCUGCAGAAGCCAAGCAUUUUUCUAAAAGGCCCAAGAAUCUCCACUGAGAAAUGGGUCUCGAAGCAUGUCCUAGCCCCAAGAGUCCUGACCCUUUACUCCAUCAACUCCAGGAUGACUCCAGAGCACUUCGUCUGAGCCCACCAAGGUCCAAUUAUGCCAGCCUCCCUGGGCCCCAAGAAGGACAAGGGAAGGAAAGUCCCUGGGUCUUCUGCCUGUCACUUCCUUCUAUUCCAAGGCAACAGAGCCGGAGCUGAAAAUGAGCUCACACAGAGUGGCACAGGUGGAGGCUGCAUGGAGGCAGUGGGGGAUGUCAGUGGGCAGGCAGCUAAUCCCUAGACACAAACAUACACACCCACACGCUGGAUGUGGGGCAGGUGCUGGUUAGACAAAACUUUUUCCCAUCAGGGUAGGGGGCAGCAAUGAGAUUCUGCCUUAGAGCUGCAGAAGGUAUGGGACCAUAAGCCCGCACCCCCUGCCACUCCCACCUCCACCCCAACAGUCAGUGGAGUCAUUGCCAUUUGAUAUCCACUGAGACAACUUGGCUGCCCUGGGCCCUGGGUGGAGGGGUGGGGGAUGGCUUAGAAAACAGCAGCUCCUUUCAGGACCCAGGUUGGCAAGGGCUUUGGGAGGCUGGACUGGCCCAGAUCACCCACCAACUCCCCCUCCUUUCCUCCCUCCCUCACCACUACCACCAAAGGACGGGGUGAGGGCGGAGUUGGCACUGCCUGGGCCAUGCCUAUGGCCUCAGGAGUGCAGCUGGACCCUCUCCCUGGCAUGACGCUUCCCUCCCUGUGCCCCCGUCCUCCUCCCUGAAGGACCAGCCAUGAGCCAAGACACCAGGCUUCUUCUAGACUUGGUCCCCAUACACAGUCUACAUGCUCAGGAAUUAACAAGCCUUGCCUUGGCACAGGACGGUGCCCACCGUCAUGCCAGGAACAUGUUCAAAAAUCUUUGGAGAUCAAUGAGAGAGGUUUAGACUGAAACAAACGAACUUGUUGGUGGCUGCCAGCCUCCCCUGGGGCUGGUAUCUUAACACCCACUCUAUGCCCUUCCUCCUCAACACCCCUAAGCAGGAGGGCAUCAAAUCUUCUGUCAUCAUCUCUCCCCCACCCAGACUACCUAAAGCAGUCCCAAGGGGGAGAAGAAAAUUCAAACACCUGGGCAAGGGCAGACUGGCCGGAAGUCUUUGGUAUGAAUGUGUAUUGAUAAGCAACCUGGUGAGGCUUUAAGCUCUGCCUUCACUUUGGAUCCCAAUUUGUACUGGUCUUUCCACCGCCCCCACUUCCCCAUCUGCCCCCACCUGCCUGGGGGACUUCAUUUAUUGGGAUGAAAUCUCAAGAUACCAGAAGCCCCAGGGCUAUUUUGUCUCAGGUUCUUCUUUCUACCCAUCCUGGGGUUCAGUUGGCCUCCCUCAAAUCAGCACCUUGCAGCCUUCAACUCUUCUCUAACUCGGGGGCUCUUGGUUGGGUCCUGGUGGCAGGGGGAGGGGGAAGGGACAGAAUGGGAAGGGCUUUCUCUGUUCAGAGGAUGCAUUUAUGAAUCCCAGUCUGCUCU
rnacentral:lncRNA from 1 species